UAGGCAACGUGGCCUUCCAGACCGCUGGUAGUGGACUUGAGGCUGUCGGGAAGGAGGGGUGUGGCCUAGACCACUAAGGGCCGUGACGUGGUGCCGCUGAGCUUGGACCCCGACCAGAAGAUAGAGAUUGAAACGAUGAGGAAAACGAAGUGCCUAAUCCCCGCUGGACGCUAACUGCAGGGCAAGCUCCCCAGUGUUGUAGUUGUGUUUCGGAGGCCGAGAACCGCUAUCGGGCUUCCUCGGACUCUGGCCCUGGAGGGGGGAAACGGCGAGGGAGAAGGCGAAACGAGUCUCCAGUGUGUUCUUGGGGCCUGGUGCGAGGCCCAGAGAAUUCUCUGCAGGCCUUUGCCCGGGCACUGAUUAAGGCUGCGAAGAGACGCACCGGGCUGCGGGCUUAGUAGCUUCAGGCUUCUGAAGUCAGAGGGAGGGCUGAGAGCUUACACUUCUGGAGCUCCCCGGGAGACGGCAACUACCCAACCGUGUGGGUGUGUUUGUCACCCAGAAAUACUCUCCACACCAUGCUGCACUGCUGCGGAUGAGGGAAGGAUGGUGUCGGGGCUUCAAGACUGUUUUUCCUACCUCUUCAGUGCCUCUUUCAGUGAUAUGAAGUUAAAACCAGG
rnacentral:lncRNA from 10 species